GUAGGGAAUAUUGGGCAAUGGAGGCAACUCUGACCCAGCCAUGCCGCGUGCAGGAAGACGGUCCUCUGGAUUGUAAACUGCUUUUGAAUGGGAAGAACACUACCCUUGCGAGGGUAUUUGACGGUACUAUUAGAAUAAGCACCGGCUAACUCCGUGCCAGCAGCCGCGGUAAUACGGAGGGUGCAAGCGUUAUCCGGAUUUAUUGGGUUUAAAGGGUGCGUAGGCGGUUAAUUAAGUCAGUAGUGAAAGACUGUCGCUCAACGACGGAUGUGCUAUUGAUACUGGUUAACUUGAAUCAGGUUAGAGUUGGCGGAAUGGGUCAUGUAGCGGUGAAAUGCUUAGAUAUGACUUGGAACACCGAUAGCGAAGGCAGCUGACUGAGCCUUGAUUGACGCUGAGGUACGAAAGUGUGGGUAGCGAACAGGAUUAGAAACCCGAGUAGUCC
rnacentral:rRNA from 1 species